CGGUAAUACGGAGGGUGCAAGCGUUGUUCGGAAUUAUUGGGCGUAAAGCGCGUGUAGGCGGUUUCUUAAGUCUGAUGUGAAAGCCCCGGGCUCAACCUGGGAAGUGCAUUGGAAACUGGGAGACUUGAGUACGGGAGAGGGUAGUGGAAUUCCUAGUGUAGGAGUGAAAUCCGUAGAUAUUAGGAGGAACACCGGUGGCGAAGGCGGCUACCUGGACCGAUACUGACGCUGAGACGCGAAAGCGUGGGGAGCAAACAGGAUUAGAUACCCUGGUAGUCCACGCCGUAAACGAUGAGUACUAGGUGUUGCGGGUAUUGACCCCUGCAGUGCCGCAGCUAACGCAUUAAGUACUCCGCCUGGGAAGUACGGCCGCAAGGCUAAA
rnacentral:rRNA from 1 species